UACGUAGGGGGCAAGCGCUGUCCGGAUUUAUUGGGCGUAAAGAGCUCGUAGGCGGUCUGUCGCGUCGGAUGUGAAAACCCAGGGCUCAACUCUGGGCCUGCAUUCGAUACGGGCAGACUAGAGUACGGCAGGGGAGACUGGAAUUCCUGGUGUAGCGGUGAAAUGCGCAGAUAUCAGGAGGAACACCGGUGGCGAAGGCAGGUCUCUGGGCCGUAACUGACGCUGAGGAGCGAAAGCGUGGGGAGCGAACAGG
rnacentral:rRNA from 1 species